rnacentral:rRNA from 1 species
UACGUAGGGGGCAAGCGUUGUCCGGAUUUACUGGGCGUAAAGCGCGUGUAGGCGGCCACGCAGGUCCGUUGUGAAAACUGGAGGCUCAACCUCCAGACGUCGACGGAAACCGUGUGGCUAGAGUCCGGAAGAGGAGAGUGGAAUUCCUGGUGUAGCGGUGAAAUGCGCAGAUAUCAGGAAGAACACCAAUGGCGAAGGCAGCUCUCUGGGACGGUACUGACGCUGAGACGCGAAAGCGUGGGGAGCGAACAGGAGUAGAAAACCCAGUA